CACGCUCUCUCCUCACCUGAGCUGUCUGCUCUCCCCCCCCUCUCUCUCUCUCUCUCUCUUUCUCUCUUGCCUCCAAGUCACUCUGUCACAUUUUAUUUUUCUUCUUUAUUUUCAUGAAUAUUUACACUUUUUUCUGUGCGUACACUCUUUUUUAUGCAGCACAGAAAGUGAAGAGAAGAAAGAUUUCUCUGUUUUUUGAAGCUUCUUUUUAUUGAGAUUUCUCUGUUUUUUGAAGCUUCUUUUUAUUGAGCUAUUUAGAGCGGAAGAGGGAGUUGUGUAGCGAGAGAGGGAGAGAGAGAGAGAGAGAGGUACAGAAGAGAAUUGCUGUAUGUCAGUAGAUUGUAUAGAGACUUACCUUGGUGGAAUAGGCGAGCUCGCAAACCCACUGCAAUGGCCUCAACUACGCAAAAGACGACGCCUCCUUCUCCGUGUUGCGCCUCUCAAAGUGACUCUGCUACCAUUCGCCGCCAGGCUGCUCCAACGCCUUCGUCCGUGGUGCCGAAUGCGGUGCAAGAUUGGACCGAUCGCCGCCUCGAGGAUCAGCUCGGUGAGAAGGCUGCCAUCGCGGCUUUGAUUCGCCCUGUUGAUUCACUUCCCGAACCUCCCACAAACGCCGCCGCCAAAGCUGGCAUCCCAGUCAUGUUGAGGGCUCAAACCAGCCAUCCCUUGGAUCCUUUAUCUGCUGCUGAAAUCUCUGUGGCAGUGGCAACUGUCCGGGCUGCUGGAGCCACUCCUGAGCUCAGAGAUAGCAUGAGAUUCAUUGAGGUGGUCCUUUUGGAACCGGAUAAACAUGUUGUUGCAUUGGCAGAUGCUUAUUUCUUCCUUCCUUUCCAGCCAUCGUUGCUUCCCAGAACGAAAGGUGGACCUGUAAUUCCUACCAAGUUGCCUCCAAGGAGAGCUAGACUUGUUGUUUACAACAAAAGGUCAAAUGAGACGAGUAUAUGGAUUGUGGAGCUAUCGGAAGUACAUGCAGUGACUCGAGGUGGACAUCAUAGGGGAAAAGCAAUUUUGUCACGAAUUGUUCCGGAUGUUCAGCCGCCAAUGGAUGCUGUUGAAUAUGCUGAGUGUGAAGCUGUUGUAAAAGACUUCCCUCCAUUUAGAGAGGCAAUGAAGAAAAGAGGUAUUGAAGACAUGGAACUUGUAAUGGUUGAUGCCUGGUGUGUUGGUUAUCACAGUGAAGCUGAUGCUCCAAGCAAAAGACUUGCUAAACCUCUUAUAUUCUGUAGAACUGAGAGUGAUUGCCCAAUGGAAAAUGGUUAUGCACGCCCAGUUGAGGGCAUCUAUGUGCUUGUUGACAUGCAGAACAUGAAGGUGAUUGAGUUUGAAGAUCAUAAACUUGUUCCCUUACCCCCAGCAGAUCCAUUAAGGAAUUAUACUCCUGGUGAAACAAGGGGUGGUGUUGAUCGAAGUGAUGUGAAACCUUUACAAAUUGUUCAGCCUGAAGGUCCAAGCUUUCGUGUCAAUGGAUACUUUGUUGAAUGGCAAAAGUGGAAUUUUCGCAUUGGAUUCACUCCCAGAGAGGGUUUGGUUUUACAUUCUGUUGCAUAUGUUGAUGGUAGCAGGGGGCGGAGACCUGUUGCCCAUAGGUUAAGCUUUGUAGAGAUGGUUGUGCCUUAUGGAGAUCCAAAUGAUCCUCAUUAUCGGAAAAAUGCUUUUGAUGCCGGGGAAGAUGGCCUUGGUAAAAAUGCACAUUCUCUUAAAAAGGGGUGUGAUUGUUUGGGCCAUAUCAAAUACUUUGAUGCCCACUUUACAAACUUCACAGGAGGCAUUGAAACAAUUGAAAAUUGUGUAUGCUUGCAUGAAGAGGAUCAUGGAAUUUUAUGGAAGCAUCAAGACUGGAGAACUGGCUUAGCAGAAGUACGAAGGUCUAGACGGCUCACAGUUUCUUUUAUAUGUACAGUUGCUAAUUAUGAGUAUGGAUUCUAUUGGCACUUCUAUCAGGAUGGAAAAAUUGAAGCAGAAGUUAAACUUACAGGAAUCCUCAGCUUGGGAGCAUUGCAACCAGGAGAUAUUCGAAAAUAUGGCACAACCAUUGCUCCUGGUCUAUAUGCACCAGUUCAUCAACAUUUCUUUGUUGCUCGUAUGAACAUGGCCGUAGAUUGCAAACCUGGUGAAGCUUUCAAUCAGGUUGUUGAGGUGAAUGUUAAAGUUGAGAAACCUGGAGAGAACAAUGUCCACAAUAAUGCAUUUUAUGCUGAAGAGACUCUGCUUAGAUCAGAAUUGCAAGCAAUGCGGGACUGUAAUCCUCUAACAGCUCGCCAUUGGAUUGUGAGAAAUACUAGAACUGUCAAUCGGAUGGGACAAUUAGCAGGGUACAAGCUGGUACCUGGUUCAAACUGUUUGCCAUUAGCUGGCCCUGAGGCCAAGGUUUUGAGAAGAGCUGCUUUUUUGAAGCAUAAUCUUUGGGUUACACCUUAUGCAUAUGAUGAGAUGUUUCCUGGAGGAGAGUUCCCUAACCAAAAUCCACGUGUUGGAGAAGGACUUGCUACCUGGGUGAAGCAGAAUCGAUCUUUGGAAGAAACUGAUGUAGUUCUUUGGUAUGUAUUUGGGAUCACACAUGUUCCUCGGUUGGAAGACUGGCCAGUAAUGCCUGUAGAGCGCAUUGGUUUUAUGCUUAUGCCGCAUGGGUUCUUCAACUGCUCUCCUGCUGUGGAUGUCCCACCUAACGCAUGCGAAUUAGAUAACAAAGACGCUGAUGUGAAAGACAAUGGUGUAGCCAAGCCUCUUCAAAGUGUUAUGCUGGCAAAGCUUUGAAUCGCUUCCAAUUAUUAUUUUGACAGUCCCCGUACAAGAACCUCUGGAUUUGAUUCUAUGCUGGAAAGUAGGGUCUCCUCGUUCCUCCAUUUCAGUCUCAGCAUUGGCAACUAAACAAUGAGAAUUUAACCAUCUCCUGCUACUUUGUCAAUGUGCCAUUAUGGUUGUGAUGGAAUUAUCAAUGAUCAAGAAUUGGGCUUGACUUUCUAAUUCCUAUGGAUAGUACAUAAAGUUGGGAAGCUUUAGAAAAGGUUUUACUAAAGUUGAAUGAAAGUAAGGACAUUUUUCUGAAGUGGGACGAGAGACGAUCUUGGUUUUCCAUUUUCCAUGUAUGGAAUUGGAGAGAGCCAUCAGUUGUCGUUUACCAUUGUUGCUUUUUCCACUGCACCAGCUUAUAAAUGAAGAGAAAUUACUAGUUCUAUUGCAUGUGAUUAUUGCUUAUGAGUCACAUCAGAAGUACAGAAACAAUGAACUACAUACAAUGGUGAGGACAAAAACCUUGGUUCCUUGGAGAAACUUGCUUCUUUUCUCUUCUUCUGAAAACAUGUCAUUUUUAUGAGAGUGGGUAACAACCUUGAAGUAUACUGACAUUCUUCGACCCAUAUCAGAGAAAAUAAAUCGUCUUCGUAAUCAUGCAGCAUUUGCAAGCUUUUGUUCAUAGAGCGCAAUCCAGCACCAAUUGCUUCUUGUGCUGUGUAGCUAUAAGCGCAAGUACUGUUGGACUGGAGAGCUGAUAUGAGACUUGACAGUGAGACCCACAAGUGAUUUUUCUUCUAAAGAGAGAAGAAAACAAAAGUUAAGGUAUGGUUUUCUCUCAUCCAUAAAAUGAGAAUUGACUUUUGGCCUCCAGAGAGACGAGAUAGAAAUCUCUGGAGUGGAAGUUUCUUCCUUCGGAUUUUUAUGGGUAAACAAUUAGUCCUUGCAGGGAAACAGUGGUGGGAUAUUUUGUUUUUACUGUGAAAUUGUUGCCUACACGCUAGGUAGGAUGCCUCAUUCUCAGGUGUUGGUGGAGUUCAUUUACUUGUACACAAUGCGUACGAGAGGUGUGUAAUGCAAUCUUUUUAGGCUUGUAGCCUUGUUGGUA